GAGACAGCAGCCGCCGCGGUAAUACGAAGGGUGCAAGCGUUAAUCGGAAUUACUGGGCGUAAAGCGUGCGUAGGCGGUUUGUUAAGUCUGUUGUGAAAUCCCCGGGCUCAACCUGGGAAUGGCAAUGGAUACUGGCAAGCUAGAGUGUGUCAGAGGAUGGUGGAAUUCCCGGUGUAGCGGUGAAAUGCGUAGAGAUCGGGAGGAACAUCAGUGGCGAAGGCGGCCAUCUGGGACAACACUGACGCUGAGGCACGAAAGCGUGGGGAGCAAACAGGAUUAGAGACCCGUGUAGUCCCUGUCUCUUAUAC
rnacentral:rRNA from 1 species